UCCGGAAAUUUAUGGGCGUAAUGGGUUCGCCAGCCGAUCCUAAGGUUCUGAAUGGGAAGGCCCCCGCUCCACCGGGGAGGGUCAUUGGAAACUGGGGAACCUGGAUUGCAGAGAGGAGAGAGUGGAUUUCACCUGGUAGGCGGGUGAAUUCCUAGAGAAUGGGGAAGGAACCACCAAUUGCCGAGGCGGACUUUUCUGUUCUGUACUUACGGUGAAGACGCGAAGCCGUGGGGAACCGACCAGGAUAGGUUACCUGGUUAGUCCACGCGUUAACGGAGAAUUGUUAAGUGUUAGGGGGUUUCGGCCCUUAAUUGUGGCAGCAAAGCCAUUAACCAUUCGCCUUGGGAAGUCGGUUGCCAGGAUGAAAAUUAAAAGAAAUGGAGGGGGGCCGCCCCAACCGUGGGACCAUUUGGUUAAUUUGGAAGCAACGGGAGGACCUUUACCAGUUCUGACCUUCUUUGGCCAUCCCAGAGAUUAGGGGUUCCCUUUGGGGGCCGGAUGACCAGUGGGGCCAUGUUGUUGUUCAGUUGGGUUCUGGGGAUGUGGGGUUAAUUCCGCCACGAAGGCCAACCCUGGUUUUUGGUGGCCGCCUUUCAGUGGGCCAUUUUAGGGGGACGGCGGGGGCAAAACGGGGGAAAGGGGGGAAGAAGUUCAAAUCUUCAUCCCCCUAAUGCCUGGGGUAACCCACGGGUUCCAAGGGCCGGACCAAAGGCCAGGGAAGCCGGGGGGUUAACCCAUUCCCCCAAUUUGUUUUCCAUUUGGAUUGCCGUUUGCAAAUUGGAUGGGGGGAAGCGGGAAUGGUUGUUAUUGGGGAUUCACCAGGCCCCGUGAAAUAGUUUCCCGGCCUUGGUCCCCCCCCCCGGCCCCACCAGAGAAGUUUAACCACCGAAAUUGGGAAGAACCCUUAGGAGCCAGCCGCCGAAGUGACGGGGCUCGAAUAUAUUGG
rnacentral:rRNA from 1 species